CGGCGAAGGGUGAGUACACGUAACCAACGUACCCCUCAGAUCGGGAUAACCACUGGAAACGGUGGAUAAUACUGAAUGGUCCUAGGAAGGACAUCCUUCCGAAGGUAAACGGCGGCUUCGGCUGCUGUUGAGGGAGCGGGUUGCGUCCUAUCAGCUUGUUGGUGAGGUAACGGCUCACCAAGGCUAUGACGGGUAGCGGGUCUGAGAGGAUGAUCCGCCACACUGGGACUGAGACACUGCCCAGACUCCUACGGGAGGCUGCAGUCGAGAAUCUUCCACAAUGGGCGAAAGCCUGAUGGAGCGACGCUGCGUGUAGGAUGAAGGCCUUAGGGUUGUAAACUACUGUCACGCUAUAGGAACCCGUGUAGGUUAAUAGCCUGCGCGCUGACGAAAGCAAGAGGAAGUGCCGGCUAACUCCGUGCCAGCAGCCGCGGUAAGACGGAGGGCGCAAGCGUUGUUCGGAAUCACUGGGCAUAAAGGGCGCGUAGGCGGCCAGUUCAGUCGGAUGUGAAAUCCCCCGGCCCAACCGGGGAACUGCAUUCGAUACUGACUGGCUAGAGGAUGGUAGGAGCCAAUGGAACUCCAGGUGGAACGGUGAAAUGUGUAGAUAUCUGGAGGAACACCGGUGGCGAAAGCGAUUGGCUGGGCCAUUUCUGACGCUGAGGCGCGAAAGCUAGGGGAGCGAACGGGAUUAGAUACCCCGGUAGUCCUAGCCGUAAA
rnacentral:rRNA from 1 species